GUGGGGAAUCUUGCGCAAUGGGCGAAAGCCUGACGCAGCCAUGCCGCGUGAAUGAUGAAGGUCUUAGGAUUGUAAAAUUCUUUCACCGGGGACGAUAAUGACGGUACCCGGAGAAGAAGCUCCGGCUAACUUCGUGCCAGCAGCCGCGGUAAUACGAAGGGGGCUAGCGUUGCUCGGAAUUACUGGGCGUAAAGGGCGCGUAGGCGGACAGCUUAGUCAGAGGUGAAAGCCCAGGGCUCAACCUUGGAAUUGCCUUUGAUACUGGCUGUCUUGAGUUUGGGAGAGGUGAGUCGAACUCCGAGUGUAGAGGUGAAAUUCGUAGAUAUUCGGAAGAACACCAGUGGCGAAGGCGACUCACUGGCCCAAUACUGACGCUGAGGCGCGAAAGCGUGGGGAGCAAACAGGAUUAGAAACCCCGGUAGUCC
rnacentral:rRNA from 1 species